UUCGUAUUGAAGUCAUUUGCCUCGCUAAUCUAUCAUUCGAGUUAUCUCUCCCCCUUUUAACGGAAGCUGAUUAAAAGCAGAGAGAGAGAGAGAGAGCAAACCAAUCCCGGCACCAAUCAACCUAAUUACCUCCGACUCCGACUCUGGGUCUCUCAUACUUGUUUUCCGGAUGGUUUUGAUUAUUGUCAUUCAGUUUGAUUUUGGAUGGUUUGGCAGCUGUGUUGGUAAGUCGAUGACGGCAAUUUGUAGGCGGCAAUGGACACUUGGACCCCGAAAACCUCACCUCACCUCACCACCAGAGCACAAUUUCGUCUAUACGGGAUGGUCUGGAAUCUCCAAAAUCUCCAAUAGCAAAGUCUCCAUCCCAGAACUCUCUUCGUAAUGCUAGUCUCGUUGCCAAAAGGAAAAUGUUUGCUGAGUCCCAGGUUGGAAGUUCCAGUUUCCGUAAGCUUUUGGAGCCAAAGCCCACUCAGAGAUCUGCAAUUACUCCUUAUAGAAUUGUUCUUGGUAAUAUAAAAAGACAAGGUAUGUUUAUUUGCUUUGAAUAUGUCAAGCAAGUUGCUGUUAGCGGAUACAUAGCUAAGCUUGAUUGAUUUAUAUUUUUGUGAUGCUGGUUUGGGGUGGUACCACCCUUUUUCUGGAACAGCUUGUUUAUUCUGACAAUGUUUGCUUGUUUAGAACUCUAAUUGCUUUAGUUGUAAAAAACUUUGUCUUUGACAAGUGACAACUGAUUUAUGCAGAAUAAUUGAAAUAAAACUGAAUUGAUUGAUAUAUGUGCAUUUUCUUGUUAUCGUUGAUAUAAAUGGACACAUUCUCAUUAUCAACAUGCUCUUUUCAUACAGGUAUCAUCCUCAUUAAUAUAUGAACGGAACCACUUGUGAUCUUACAAAACAGCUUCGAGAUACUGAAAUAUGAAGCUAUGAACUUUAUUUAGUUUUCAUUUUUCUGUUCCCAUCCCUCUUCUCCUUACUCUAUAUGCAUUUUGCAGGUGAGAUUUGUAUGCUCAGAGCUGAGAGCUAUGAUUAGUUCAAUUACAGAGAUAUCCACCUGCAAGUAUGCAGUUGCAAUUAAAUGCCCCACACUUUGCAAGCAUCCAUUAUUCCAGUCAGAGAGACCGGUAUGGCAGACCAUUAAUUGUAAUGUACUUCCCAAGGAUUACAAGGAAACCCAAGUUGAGGAUGAAGAAUCUAAAAUUAAGCAGAUAGUUAUGGUCAUAGACAGUGAAUCUCAUUCCAAUGAUGAAUCUGAGAAAUAACAUUUUAUAAAUUCAGAAAAUUUUGUGAAUGCUAAUGAUAGGCAACCUCAUGUAAUCUUGUAUUCUUUUGCACCUUUCACAAGUCAUUGACUGUCCUCUAACAUUGUUGCCCUUAUAUUUCAAGAUGGAUAUCACAUCCUGAAUUGAUACUAGUAAAUCAGAAUGUUUAUACCAUGUUUAUACCGCAUUUACUCAAAAGCAGCAAAUAUGCUUUUUUAUAAUUCCAGAAAUGGUGAAAGGCGGGUUAGAUAAACUACAUGGCACCAAUAUUAGUCUUGGAACAGUAGGGAAAAUGCCGGAUCAAAGACAUUGAUCAUCCGGAACACCAUCACCAUAACUAGAUCCUUGACCUAUUGUUAUUAUACAUGUACAUGCAUGGUUGUUAAAGUCGCAAUUCUUAUUGGCAGAGUGAUAUUCACUUUGUUCCCGCUGAAUUCAGUAGAGCCAAGUACUCACUUAUGACUUCACCUUGUCUAGUAACUUCAAUAUCAUAGUCAGUGAAAGCAUCUCCUUGUGCUAGUUCUUCAGCAAGUUGGCUUUCCAUUUCUGAAUCACGCUCUGAUGCAUUACUAGACGUUGAAGGACCUCCAACUUGACCAUUUUGAUUAUCAAGCAUU